rnacentral:tRNA from 1 species
GGUGCGGUACCCAAGCGGUAAGGGAGCAGUCUGCAAAACUGUUAUUCACCGGUUCAAUUCCGGUCCGCACCU